rnacentral:pre_miRNA from 1 species
UUUUUAGUGUAAUUGUGUCUUAUGCAAUAUUUGAGACAUAUUUAUACUAAAC